CUUAAUGCUGUGGUGUCGUUAACAGUACUUGAUAAGGCCCUUCCCACUUGGGAGAGUGCCAGUGUUUUCUUUUUACACUUUUACUCAACACUCAGUCUCCUGGUGUCAAUCUCAUGUCUUCUAUCAAAGUGGAAUCUUCAUCAGUUUCCUACACAUUUUCGAACUGUGUCAACCUAUAAGGUUUAACAAACAACGUUUCAUAUGGACUCAAACCAUUUGUGCCAUUAUGUUUAUUUGUAAUUUAACAAGAUCUAAACAUUAUGUCCUUCGACACUUUGUUUCUUCCAUGCAUUUUCUGUUCUACCAGUCCUCCACUUUGGGGAUGGUACGCGCUAUGGUUCUUUAAGUCCAUGUGGAACAUUGUUGCUGUUUUCUUUCCAUUUUUUUUUCUUUUCUUUUACAAUUUGAUUUACAAAGAGACUGCUGUAGUCUAAUUCUGUUUCAUUCAAAACAUAUUCCAUGCAGAUUAGAUGAAUGCCAUGUUAAACUGUGAUCAGUACCUGUCAACCACUAGUAAAGUUAGUACACUGUAAAACAUAACAUGGAGCUUAAUAAAAAAUACCAAGUGAACCUAACUAACUUUUCGUCAAUCUGUUACGAACACUCAAUUUAAGCAAGUACCAUGUAAUUAGAAGAUGAAAAAGUUGAACAACUCAAUAUGUCUCAGUUGUAUUAAUGUAGAAAAAAUAAGUUAUUAGUGAGAUGUGUUUAGUUGAUCAAUUCACACAAGCGCAAAGGAGCCCUCAUCUAUUUGGCGCUUAAUUAACUUCCGUGUCCUGACAAGUCCAGCGAGCGGAUGUCCAUGCUACUGAAGUGGUCACUUUUGUCGGGAUUGCUUUGAUUCCUGUGCUUCGAACGCUUUGACGGCAACGGAGCUGUGAGAAGAUGGAGAAGGCCCAGCGGGACCAGAAAAGCUGGUAUGAUAGAGCUGCGAGGCAACAAUCCUUUGAAGCAGGUCAGAAAGUUAUUUUAAUGCUACCGACAUCGGACAAUAAGUUACUGGUAAAAUGGAAGGGACCAUAUACGGUCAGUGACACUGUUUAUGAGAUAGAAGUGCCUGAGCGAAGAAAUGCGCAGCAGACUUUUCACAUCAAUAUGCUAAAAGAGUGGAAAUCCCGAGACGCCACCUGUAGCCCGCAGUUUUUUGUCCAGGCAGUGCAAGAAGAGGAGGAGGGAGACGCCUGGAACCACUGCCCUGGUACGACAUGACAUCCAGCUGACUGACAGCACCCCCAUCAGGCAGCGGAUGUACCGGAUUCCGGAGAGGAUGGUUCCAGUGCUUUUGGAGGAGGUCGAGGUCAUGCGUAAGCUGGGAGUUAUUGAGCCUUCCACCAGUGAAUGGAGUAACCCUGUUGUUCUGGUCAUCAAGAAGGAUGGGAGCAUCCGCUUUUGCAUUGACUUCCGUAAGGUAAAUGCACAAUCAAAGUUCGAUGCCUUCCCUCUGCCCAGACUUGAUGACCUGAUAUAGCGUGUCGGCCAGUCACGGUUCAUCAGUACACUGGACUUAUGUAAGGGGUAUUGGCAAGUUCCCCUUAAUGAGGCUGCCAAGCCUCUCACCACUUUCUGGACCCCUCAUGGACUGUGGCAGUUCACAAAGAUUUUGGACUCCAUGGUGCUCCUGCCACCUUUCAAAGACUGAUGAACAAGGUUUUGUCAGGUAUGGAAUCAUUUUCUGUGGCAUACCUUGAUGACGUUAUCAUCCACAGCAAUUCAUGGCAGGAACAUCUGCGCCACCUGGAAGCUGUUCUGGGCCGGAUAAAGCAAGCGGGCUUGACAAUAAACCCCAAAAAGUGUUCAAUAGCCAGGCAGGAACUACAAUACCUGGGCCAUAUCCUGGGAAAUGGGGUGAUCCGCCAUGUGAAGGACAAGGUGGAGACUGUGAGAGCGACGGAGAGACCAACCACCAGGAAGCAGGUUCGCUCUUUCUAGGCCUGGUGGGAUGGCACAGGAGGUUCAUUCCGAACUUUUCAGCCCGAGCUGUACCCCUCUCGGACCUCACUCGAGCCAGCCAGACCAGGUGGGUCUGGGGAGAAAAGCAGCAGCAAGCUUUUCAGGAUCUCAAAGAAGCCCUGUGUCAUGAGCCUGUUCUUCAGAGUCCAAACUUCGACAUGCUAUUCGUCGUCCAGACGGAUGCUUCUCUCCGAGGGAUUGGUGGAGUUCUGCUGCAGGAGGGGGCGGAGGACAGGAAACACGUGGCCGGAAGCUGUUCCCACGUGAGAUGCGCUACUUGACGGUGGAACUUGAAUGUUUGGCCAUCAAGUGGGUGAUCGACUCCUUCAAAUACUAUCUUCUGGGGAAGGAGUUCACACUGGAAACGGACCAUCGGGCACUCCAGUGGCUCGAAACUAUGAAGGAUACAAACAGCCGCAUCACCAGAUGGUUCCUGUCCCUUCAACCCUACAAGUUCAACAUCCGGUAUGUGCCUGGGAGGCAGAACACCGUAGCAGACUUCUUGUCGCGCCAGGAGGAAGGCAGAUCUUUCGAAGGGGGAGGGAGUGUGAGGGAGCUGCCAAUCCCCCCUCACUGAUCAGGUGUAUGCCCCACCUACACUGUCCGGUUUCUCUUUGUGUAUAUAGUUGGCUUUAGUUAUUUACAUAUAUUUUGGUUAGUGCUUUAAUUAUAUGUGUUUGCCGUUUAAGUGCCACUUUAGUUAGUUAGUUUUUCAUUCAGAAGUCAUUUGUGUUGUUCCUAAUUUCUCAUUAGUUUCUCCUUUUGUUUGAGGUGAUUGGUCGUGGCCCAAACAUGGAGGUGCGCCCAUGGGAGUGCAGGCCAGAGGCUGAUCACCUCAAUUGGACUCUCCCAAGUGCCACCUGGAGGAGGGGGGGAUUGGGUGGUAGUUGGGGAAUCCAA